rfam:Populus trichocarpa isolate Nisqually-1 chromosome 12, whole genome shotgun sequence.
UAAUCUGUAUGUGAUAGAUCAUCACCUAGUUAUGACAAAUCCACACCUAACCUGUUAUCUCAAGCUCGACGACGUAAAAAAAAAAUGGAGUUUGGCCUUAAGGGAGUAGGGAUAAUAAUCUUAAGGAUUAACUAGUCUUGUUAGAAU